rfam:Schistosoma curassoni strain Dakar, Senegal genome assembly, scaffold: SCTD_contig0003034
AGCUUUCCGAAUCCGUGCAGAGAUUUCGUCAGACACCAACCUAUUAAAACUGAUCAAACUUCUAAGAUAAGUGAAGUU